rnacentral:rRNA from 1 species
GGCUCUCUGUUUAUAUAAAUAUAGGGAGUCGAGCCUGCCCAGUGAAUUUUUAAACGGCCGCGGUACUCUGACCGUGCAAAGGUAGCAUAAUCAUUUGCCUUAUAAUUGAAGGCUAGUAUGAAUGGUUUAACGAGAGCAACACUGUCUCCUUUUUAUUUUCAAGAACUUAACUUUUAGGUGAAGAGGCCUAAAUUCUAUUGAAGGACAAGAAGACCCUAUCGAGCUUAAAAGACAUUAUAGAGGUUUAUAUAUUUGUAAAUAAAUUUUCUAUUAAGCUUUUUAGUUGGGGCGACUAAGGAACAAAAAAAGCUUCUUGCUAAUAACAAACAGUCAUGUUUAGAUCCGAAAAUAAUCGAUCAAAGAAAUUAGUUACCGUAGGGAUAACAGCAUAAUCUCUCUUGAGAGACCUAAUCGAAAGAGGGGGUUGUGACCUCGAUGUUGGACUAGAAUAUCCUAAAGAUGCAGAAGUCUUUGAGGGUCGGUCUGUUCGACCGUUAAAAUUCU